rnacentral:tRNA from 1 species
CGGGACGUGGCGCAGCUUGGUAGCGCACCGGUCUGGGGGACCGGCGGCCGUCGGUUCAAAUACGGCCGUCCCGACCA